GCGGGAAUAGCUCAGUUGGUAGAGCACGACCUUGCCAAGGUCGGGGUCGCGAGUUCGAGUCUCGUUUCCC
rnacentral:tRNA from 8 species